rnacentral:misc_RNA from 1 species
GCUGAAGGGCUUGUUGUAAGAGUUGUGUCAUCAGUAGACAAAAAGUUAGAAGUGAAAUCAAGGUUUCUUGAGGUCUUUCAAGAAGAGAACUAUCCGCUGGAGUUCCCGUAUAAAUCAAAGGUGUUAUUGUUAUUUCAGAGAAUUGAAGGUGUGGAGGUGUGCCUCUUUGGCAUGUAUGUUCAAGAAUUUGGAUCUGAAUGCGCACAGCCAAAUCAUCGCCGGGUUUAUCUCUCGUAUCUAGAUUCUGUUAAAUAUUUCAGGCCAGAGAUAAAAACUGUAACUGGGGAGGCUCUCCGCACAUUUGUGUACCAUGAAAUUUUGAUUGGAUAUCUAGAAUAUUGCAAAAAGCGUGGUUUCACAAGUUGUUAUAUAUGGGCUUGUCCUCCACUUAAGGGUGAAGAUUAUAUAUUAUAUUGCCAUCCCGAAAUUCAGAAGACCCCAAAAUCUGACAAACU